rnacentral:rRNA from 1 species
CAGUAGCCGCGGGAAUACGUAGGUGGCUAGCGUUGCUCGGAAUCACUGGGCGUAAAGGGUGCGUAGGCGGGUCUUUAAGUUAGGGGUGAAAUCCUGGAGCUCAACUCCAGAACUGCCUUUGAUACUGAAGAUCUUGAGUUCGGGAGAGGUGAGUGGAACUGCGAGUGUAGAGGUGAAAUUCGUAGAUAUUCGCAAGAACACCAGUGGCGAAGGCGGCUCACUGGCCCGAUACUGACGCUGAGGCACGAAAGCGUGGGGAGCAAACAGGAUUAGAUACCCCUGUAGUCCCUGUCUCUUAUAA